GUUCCAGAAUUCAUUGUCAGAAGACAGAAUCUGAGGAUUAAGAGUUUUCAAAGAUCCACUUAAAGAGCUGUAAAACAAAACAAAACACAAAGCAAACCAAACCAAACCAGCUAGCUAAUAAAAAACAUUUAGAAGUAGAUUCCAGGAAAAAAAUGCUGCCCUGCUACAAGAACAGCAUUCCCAAACUGUUUUUAGACACAAGAUCAUUGCUGGCCAAUUAGACCAUGCUUGACAAUUUGGAAAAUAAUUUUUUUUUGUCAUCCUUGACAAUGGGUAUCUUAUACACACACAAAUGACCUAUGCUCUCAUGUCUGCUCUUGUGCCAAGCUGUCAGACAAAGUGCAACUGUAGAAACAGAACAAGUACCAGAUUUCCUUUUUGCCUGAUUUUAAGAAAAGUACAUAAGAACACAAAAUAAAUGCUUAAUUUUUUACUUUUCUUAAAAUAAGAUUAACGAGAAAAUAGUUUAGCACAUGAAAAAUUAGUUUGCAGGCCUUAAUAAAUACUGAAGAAAUUCCUAUUACUUUAUGGAAAGCUUUCUUCAUCAGUAUUUUUAGUAAAAAUUUCAUUUCUUAAUAUUUUCUCUCUUUUAUUUUUAUGUUGAAAAAUGAUGGUGAAGUGAGGGAAUCAUACUAUCUUUGGGCAUUAUUAACCUGGAGUUUGGGAUGCUGCAGUUCAGUCAUGUCUCACCAGUACAUGGAGUUGAUGAUUCAGUCAGCUAAGCCUCCUGCAGGACUGGGAUGCAUUUUGCACCCCCAGCACGCCUAGUACAAGGCAGAGGACAAGCAACACAGGCUUCAGUGCUUCACUCAUUAAGUGCUGAAUGAGGAACUUUUUUUCUCUUGCACAUGGGUGGACAUGAGGCCAGCCUGGGCUGCCCCAGAGUGGCAGAACUUCCCUGCUGCUGUGGCCAGGGGUGCCCUUUAUCAUGUCAUCUCAGUCAAAUGUGAAUGAAAUCUGCUGAUAAGAGCAGCAGGUCAUGGAACUUCACCUUUCCUCACUUCUGCCAAAAGAGAUGCCUCGUCCACAUCAUGUCCCUAGUAGCCCAGGAGUCAUAGGCCAGCAAGAAAUCCAGCCAAAAAAAAUAAAUUGGCACCUCCAGUGAUGAGUCACAAAGCACCGAUGGAACCAUGAAGGCGGGAAUAAGCACGAUCCUUCUGCCCUUUCAGUUUUGACUGCUGAUCCCUGAAAGGUAUUUUGUCUUUUUUUCCCCCUCUUUGUUUCCCAGGUUUCUAUUCAGUCCCCUCUUCACAUGUCUGUUUUAUCUUCCUGAAAGAGUCUGCAGCUUUUCAACAGUAUUGUGAGAUACAUAAAGCCAUGGUAAAUCUCAAUUACUUCUUAUUUUACUCAAAGCUGGUUAAUUUUCCUCUCUUUCUGCUGAUAAGUAAUUUAGUUCAAGACAUGUGAAGGAAUCUGCCAUGCUUUCUGAGGCAAAGCUACAGGGACUUAAAAGGAAAAUGUAGAAAUUAGCUGGUGACAAAGACCUCUCUGAAGAAGUAUGAUUCUGCUUGCCAAAUUCCUACCAGAUCACCUGAACUGGUUUGCAUUACUGUCAUUUCACACAGUCCCCUGUCCCAGAGCAGACUUCCUGAAGCUCUGCUGAAGUAGGAUUUCAGCUCCACGUUUCUGAAGUGGACAGCUGUGAACAGGAGCAUGGAAAGAACAGAGGCAAACCUCCACGGGCCUUACUCUGAACCCUGCAGAGCUGCAAACCAAUGGCCUUGUUUGGUCAGCAAGAAUGAAGUCAAUCCUUAACACAGGUGCAAACCACCGUCUCUGCAAAGGACUGACUGUUUCUGGCUCAUUUUUUAUUAACAUGGUACUCUGACUUCCCAGUCCAUACUCUUCUGUUAUCUCUGUGUUCUGAAGGCACAAGUUUGGGCCAUUCAGCACCUCCUUCUCUCACUGUAAAUGCUCAUUUUCUACCCCACUUUUUGUGACAUCAGCGACAACAAACACCCAUCCCCUUCUUCUGCAGGGGCCUCACUUCAGGAAUAUGACCAGACCUUGAAAAAGAGUCAAGUGUAGUGAAGGGAGCCCAGCCUGAGUAUUUCUGUGCCGGUGAAUCCCCGGUGCCUGCCCAGCCGGGCUGCCCCCGCUCGCUGCCCCGCUUCCCGCAGCCUGUCCUGCCCUCUAGUGCCGGCCGCUGGCUCCCGAGCCCGCUCUCCCGGUGGAACACGCACUGCCCGGGCUCUGCGCCGCGACGCGGUGCCACCAACACCGGCAAGCCUCGCAGUCGAGCCCGGGGUGCGCUGCUGUGAACCCUAGCCCGGGAGGACUGUGCAGUCUCCAGCCUUGAAGCCAUUCCAAAACCUGAGCGGACGUGGCCCUGGACAACCUGCACUGCCCUGUACUGCUUCAGCAGGGGGACUGGACUAGAUCUGAAGAGACCACAUCCAAUCUAAUUAUUCUGUUUUGCCUGGGCUUAAGCAUGGCUGAACUUAUCAACAUCUAUUAAAAAUAAUUUCUCUAAUUCCAUUUGCUUAAAAAAAAAAUCUAUCAGAAGCAUUUGUAUAUUUGUAGAUGCCUUUGACUUGUUGAGCAUGCUUGUAUAUUUUUAGACACUCCUUUUAGCUUUAGACUCGUUGAAGUAUGAGGAAGCUUUUAAUAUCUUUUCUUGAUUGUCUGGUUUCUUUUGAGCUUUGUGCUAAAGACAUAACUAAGAUCAAGAAUUUUAGUGGAAAAAAAUCAACAUUGUGCCUUUGGGAACUAGAAAAAUUUAUUUGGGUGUAUGGGUUUUGGUUGGGUUUGUUUGGUUUUUUUUGUUAGUGUUUUUUUUUUUUGUUUGGUUUUUUUUUUGCUUUUUGGGGUUUUUUGGGGGGAGAGGGGUUGGGUUUUUUUCUUUUAAUUACGGAUUUAAAUAAAAAUGUGUUUUCAUGAUUGAUGGCUGCAGUAUCUUCCUCAUGGGCUACAAUUGAACUGUAGAAGGCUACACUGUAGAACGAUGUAGCUCUUCAGCCUCACCUCUCUAUGCUAAGGCAGGAGCAAUGAUACUUUCUUUCUUCAGGAAAAAAACCCCCAAACCCCUCCAGGAUAGAUGGAUACAACCAGUAGACCAGACUAUUUGUAUCUUGUUGAAUAGAUUUGAUAUUUUCUUUCUUUUUCCCCUAAUAUGUCAGACAUUGGGCACAUCUAGGGAUAUGAUGACAGGUUUGAUGUAUCACUCGUGUUUUGGUGAGACACAAAAAAUUUCCAGUGCUGUCUCUUGAGCACAUCAGUUUGAACUAUUUGUAAUCUGUAUGCAGUGUAAUAACCUGUGAAGCAAUCACUAUAAAGCUAUAAAAUGAUAAAACAUUACACCAAAGUCAAGUUUGUAAUAAGGUAUUUUUGUUGUUUAUAGCUAAGAAAAGCAAUAAUCUUAAAAAUAGGUCACAAAGUCUGUAGUAAACCUAUAUUGCUUUUGUCUAAAAACAAAGUAAAUAAGUUUACUUACUCCAUGAGGAGUGAGUAAACACAUAUGCAAAAUGAUUAACCACAUAAAUAAUUUGUAUCAUUCUUUGCCCUUUUUGUCAACAAGAAAAUUUAUCUCUGGCUAGUCUUGCUGGCAUGCGAUGCAUGGAAAAAAAAUUACCCCAUUAUCACAAGACACAAGGUCAUGCGUUGAUUUUGAUGGAACAGUGUAUUAUGGUCAUUUGUUCCUCCUUUGGUUACUUAUGGUCCCAACGCAGUCAGGGCCAUACUGAACCACAGGAAACAUAUAGAAAUGCAUUUGGUAGCUCCUCUGAAUUUUCUAGUUACUUUUCUAUCAAAUUUUUAUACUCAUUUUGUGAGACAAAAUGUCCAUUCUGUUCAUUAUUACAACAGGAUUAUGGUGAGAUAAAAGCUUAUUCAUUUCUACAAUUUAAUUGUACCAAAUUAAUUUUUUAACUCCACAGCUUCUUUUUCAUAUGGAACAGCACAAAGACAGCAUUUAAUAUAUUGACUAAUUGGGAUAUUUAUUUCAAACUGUGAGUUAUCACUCCAGUUGGCAGAACCGGUGUCUGCUGGGAGUUUUAAUGCUUUCUCAUAAGAACAGACAGUGAUUUUCAAGUCUAUGCCUGCCAUCCUACCACUGCUGAACACUCAGUAUAGAAGGACACUAAGGAAUCCUGUCUUUGUUGUUUCACCUUAAUAAAUCCGUCUUUCAGGAACAUGAUUUUCUGCUACCUCAAGUGCUUCCUCCAGAUUCUCAGAAAAUAAGUUGUACUGUCCUUGCAUUGCUAGUGUGAUCUCAUCAGCUUCUGACUACUUCUGAAGCAAUAAAUUCUGACAGCCAUUUCUAGGCACAUUAGAAACAAGAAAAUAAUCAGGGCAUUGGCAAGCUGGAAUGUCAUGAAGUUCAACAAGGAGAAGUAUGAAGUGCUGCACCUGGGGAGGAGCAAUCCUCUGCACCAGUGUAUGAUGAGGGCCAUUGUAAGUAAAGGGUUAAUGACAUUUGCUUUUUAUGCCUUAAAUAAGCACUGGGUGGUGAAAUCUCUUGCAGAAAAUAUAAUUGGUGCCUAUGCACAAGCUGCAAGAGGAAAAAAGUCUCAGAUCUGACCUUGCCAAGGCAGGACCAAAACUGAUACUUUUCAUCACAGCCUUCCUUUGUGACCCCCAGAAUAGAUCCCCCCACAACCACCAAAUUGAGACCUGAGCAAGCAGAGUGGUAAAACACACACAUUCUCUUGCCUCUCAUGCUAAUGAGGGACUGUAUAAAAUCAGGGAAUGAACUGGGUAAGACCCCACCAGCAAGAAGCCCAGGACAUUGAAGGUCCAAUGGGAUGGUACUGGAUCCAUUGUGGUGAUUAUCUUCUGCUUACAGUGCCUAUCACCUACUCCCUUUAUCUCACUUUUUCUUUCUCUCUUGUCUCCCUAUACAAACAAUUUCACAAAAAAAAAAAAAAAAAAA
rnacentral:lncRNA from 1 species